GAUGAACGCUAGCGGCAGGCUUAACACAUGCAAGUCGAGGGGUAUAUGUCUUCGGAUAUAGAGACCGGCGCACGGGUGCGUAACGCGUAUGCAAUCUACCUUUUACAGAGGGAUAGCCCAGAGAAAUUUGGAUUAAUACCUCAUAGUAUAACACAAUCGCAUGAUUGAGUUAUUAAAGUCACAACGGUAAAAGAUGAGCAUGCGUCCCAUUAGCUAGUUGGUAAGGUAACGGCUUACCAAGGCUACGAUGGGUAGGGGUCCUGAGAGGGGGAUCCCCCACACUGGUACUGAGACACGGACCAGACUCCUACGGGAGGCAGCAGUGAGGAAUAUUGGACAAUGGGCGCAAGCCUGAUCCAGCCAUGCCGCGUGCAGGAUGACGGUCCUAUGGAUUGUAAACUGCUUUUGUACGAGAAGAAACACCUCUACGUGUAGAGACUUGACGGUAUCGUAAGAAUAAGGAUCGGCUAACUCCGUGCCAGCCGCCGCGGUAAAAC
rnacentral:rRNA from 1 species